CGUCCCGGACGUGCUCUGGAAGGGGGCGCGGCUGCCGCCUCUGAGGCCCCAGAGAUCAUCUUGCUGGAAAAUGCCGCUCUGCGGGACCACUGCGUUACUCUUCAGCUGCCUUCCUCAGGACGGCUUCCGGUGAAGCCCCUGUGAAGACGCUGAAGCGUUUGCCAUGACAACCAUGGCGGGGCAAGCCCAACCUUUCUGCCGCGCCGGCACUGGGGAGUGAGGGACCUGGACCAAAGGUACCUGAGGGGACCAGAAGACGGUGUCAGAGCCUCUGGAGCUGGAGUUACAGGCAGUUGUGUUUUGCCUGACAUCAGGAGUGCUGGAAACUGGACUCAGAGGAGUCCUUUCAGACCCCAAAGCUAACACAGUCAAAGGAACCGGAAGCUCAUGGGGCCUGGUAACAUCCGUUGGCUCCAUCUUCCAGAUUGUGUUGGAGAAUCUCAGGCAUCUCCUGGGACACAGAAGAAACCC